AUGGUCGUACGCCCAUCAUUAUUAUUAUUUUCAAUGCUAUUUGUGUUCUUCAUAUCUUCAAUUAAUUUUACUUUUGACAUAAAAUGCAAGUUGACUUUGAACCCCUUCUCCACCUCAGGCAAGGUCGAACACCAACACCGAGAAGGUAUCUUGGCACCAAAUCAUCGCGAGAAGAAGGGUAUGUGUUGCUGUGGGAGGUUGUUGUGUUCGUGUCGAGAGGCUGCAGAGUUCAUGGAAACUUUUGGCGUAGCACAAGAUCAAAUAGGAAAUCAACGGCUAGAGAGUAAAAUGAUGGGGUGA
rnacentral:rRNA from 1 species